AUCUCUGGAUGCAUUCAAGACCAGGUUGGGUGGGAUCCUGGGCAGCCCAUUCUAGUGGCUGGCCAUGCCACCCACAACAGCGGGGCUGAAACCAGAUGAUCGUCAAGUUCCCCUCCAGCCUAAGCCAUUUUUCUCCGCUCUGAUCUGCCACCAGCUUUUUGGCAGGAUGGUCCCUCCCAUUGCCUUCCUUGCACUCCCACCAGCCAGCAGCCAGGCUCUGCCAGGAACUCAGAGCAGCACAGAGCAGAAAGACCCACUGCCAGCCCUGACCACGCAGCAGGGGCAGCUGAUUGGAAGAGGAAACGCGUUCUUAAAGGAGAAGUCUUUUGCUGCUUCUCAGGAUCUGGCUUCUGUGUAAAAUGACACACAAAGAAACUCUUGCAACACGUACACAGUGAGGAAUUUCGAUUGGGGAAGUACAGAUAAGUGGAGACAGCUCUGAACCAAGCUGGAAAAGCUGCAGAUCCUCAAGUGCAUGCCAUGAGAUGAGAGCAACAGGCAUGUACUAGGAGCUAGGGGAAGAAACAAAACUAACCACCACCCCUGAGGAGCUGAUGAACUCUGCUUAAACUUUUUAUUUGACGUAGAUAAUCUACAUGAUUUUAACACUUGACUUUUGAGGAGGGAGGGGAAGUGAAUGACUGCCAGCAUAGUGAAUGGACUCCUGUCAGAAAAGGGAGAAUCUGGAGUAACUGACCCUGAAUGGAAAAAAGAAACUGCAGUAUUUGAAAGGGGUGAAUUUAACUCAAAAAUAUCAAAACUCAGAGGAGCCAAAAGCUCUCCUUUUACAUCCUUACUACUGUCAUGCCUCUUAGAUCUAUUUUCAGUACUUCUCAUUCACAUCACAUGAGGAUAUAAAACGGUGGCAACGCACUUUAAUAAUCUUAAAUCUCAGAGGUGUUGAGAGCUGCUGUGAGCCCACAGCUCCACGUCUGAGCAGCAGCAGUGCUUGGUGCAGAGCUGGGAAUGCUCCUCUAUGGACUGCUUCCUGCUGCCAACCUGAAGAACAGUGAUCAGGGAUUACAACUUAUCAGACUGAGACAAACCUGCAUUUGAUUUACCGAGUAAAGCUUUCCAAUGCUUCUCAUCGAGGUCCUUUCAUCUCCUCCUGGCUCACAUACAGCCAAAUGCUGCUGAACCCGAGAGGCCUUUGUCAUCCUGUGCAGAAGAUGGGAAGCAGCACACCAAGGUUGCACAGAACGCAGUGGUGCUGAGCAGGGCCACUGCGCAGGGGGCAAAUAUUGCCUGACCCAACCUGCACAGCUAGGAAAGAUGAAUAAAACAGGAAAAUAUGGGGCAGUUUACUAAAGGUUUAGUCUAGAGUUUGCCCAAGUAAGGCUGGCAACCUGAAACUGAAGUAAAAAUAGUGCCUUUUUUUUUUUUUUUAAACAAAACCAGAGCCAAUCAAAACCACGUAACAGAUCCACUGAACUUCAGGUUGUUGCUGUGUUGCGUUGCAACAUUUUGAAACUUCCCAGAACAACGCUUUUGUCUGCAGGACGGAGCCAUUUGCGCAAGGCAGAGAUAUGUCCUGCUGCUGGGAGCUCCGUGCACACAGAGCUGCAGAGGUCAGUGCUCCUGGGCAGGCAGGAGCAAGGUGCUACACGUGUGUGCACAUACAGAGCAAAAUGCACGCGCUUAUUUAUUAAAUGGUACCACCAAACCCUUCAGCAAGAGAAAGCUGUGGUUGCAAACAUGUCAAAGCAAGGAAACAGAAAAAGUAGGCAGUGCAGCUCUUCGGGGAAGGGGGUAUGGAAGAUGGGGAGUCUGCAGACUGGAAUUUUCCUGGCUCUGAUGAUUCUAUGGUGGAGACAGGUGAAGCGAAACCUGAGUAGGGUAACUUUAGCCAGAGAGAGUGAGAUAGAAAUAAACAGUAUUAUUCCUGGAAAGAAGGGGUAGUAGCUGUCCCUCUGCCAAAGUGCACUCCAGUCCAGAGCCUAUUAGCGGCGGAUUCCUUCCUGCGCUCCACCUCCCAGUGCCAGGGCAACGGUCCCAGGUUUUGACGUCAAAGCUGCCUUUUGUUUGUUGCACAGACCUUCCCCUUGCAGGCCGAGCAGACUGCAGCGCGGAAGCAGUGAGGCAGAGGGCUCUGCUGUGCCCAGAGCUGCUCUCACCACAAGCCUCCACGGAUGGCCCUCUUCCCGCAGUACCAAUUCCAGCCCUUCCAGUGGAAAGAAAAUAGAGUUCAAUAGCAAGAUCUGCCAAGCGAGGACUCUUUCCACACACAUGAGACAAGACUGUAAAUCUGCUUUGGAACCAACAGAUGCCUCCACUGUCAUUCACAAUGGGUUUCACUUCUUUCCUGGAUGAACGUACUGAGGAGCUGAAAUUGGGAAGCAGACCUCCUCCAAAUUGGACUGCAAAUGUAAAACCUCCAGCCUGACCAAAAGCAGCCUGAUGACCCAUAUAAAGUGGAAAUUCAAGUCAAUUUGAGGCACAGAGGGAAAGGAAGGGAUUUUCUUCCUCUCUUGAGUAGGGAAAGCCAAAACUAUCACAGCAGAAGGACCCGUAGACUACUCUUUGGCUAACUGCACCCAUGGAAAAAGCAACAGAAAUAUCCACACCUGUUACAUUCUGGUCACUUUAAGCUGCUUUCUGGGUCCCAUGAACCAUCAGACUCAUUAAAUUUGGCACUGGGGCUAUGGCUGAGACAGUCACAGCUGUCAAGUAACAGCUUUGAGUCAGCCUGAAGAAAGAAGCAAAGGAGCCAGGGUGUUUCCAGCGACCCAGUAACAGUUGGUGUUCCCAGAGAGCGCUGCAUGGGAGCCCCACUGUGUCACUGCAUCCCACACUACACUGAGGCACCAGAGAACAGUGCUCAAUUGCAACCACGUAGCAAGAACCAGAAGCCAAUAUAGCCAAUUACAAGAUUAUUAACUGCAAGCUCCUCCUCCUAUCCAUAAAACAAACGUAGACCCCCACGUAAAUGAUUUCAUUGAAUGGAAGGGACUUUGUCCUAUGGCUCAUGGAGUCUUCAUGUGGCACUAGGAGCGCACAGUGACAAACAUUUUGUGCACCAGCACAAUGCUGCAAUUACCCUGUCAUGGUAUGCUUUAAUCAGGAUGAUUUUGGGGGAGCCUGUGGCUGGGAAGUUCCUGGAAUACCAGAAGCCACCUCCCUCAGCCUGGGCAGGAGGCGGCCACCAGCGCAGUCAGCUGGCUGAAAAGCUGCUGCUGCUUCAGCUCUGCAAGGCAGGAUUAAAGAACAGAAGGUGGUUGCAGCAUAAAUCUAUUGAACGUGGGUUACAUCGAGGGUACUAUGUCACAUCACCUGCCAGGCUGGCUUCCAAACACCUGGCUGCAAUGGAGGCAGCCUUUGUUUCCUUCCAAAAGAUCACAGCUAAAGCAUGCACAGCCUCUUCUGGAGCGGUGAGGGUUAACUCAGGCGAGCAAACAAGGGCUGAAGAUCAGCUCAUCUUUUCCAUUCAGACAGAUCCUGCUACAGAAAAUGCUGGUUUCUCGAUGCUCGGUGUCUCAGUGACUUCCAGGAACAGUGAGCUAAACACAGCUACUCUUCCCAGCACCAGCUGAGGGGGCGGCAGGGGAUGGAACACAGCCCUGUUCUUGGAAGGCAGGAAAAAAUAAGGCUCUGGCAGAGCUGUGCAAGCCUGCCUCUCCCUCCUCCCCUCCCCAAUAGCCUCUUUCAGCAUCUCUAAUUCCUCAGGGUACAGCUGCGUUGGUUUUUCCUUUAUCAAAUAAGCGUAACGGCAAUGCAUGAAAACUGCAGGCAAUUUUCAAGCAGAGAGAGGUUAAGUAAAUCAAAUAAAUAAAUGAUAAGCUCAUCUUCACGAGCUCAGAUGUGCCCCAUGAUUUUGCUCAGUUUAGUGCAUGACCUACUGUACUUCCUAACAUUUUUGUUAGAUAAACACAGAAAGCUUCAGAACCAUCCAGUCCACGGAAACUAUUUUUGGCUACUUUAUCUUCAUGCAAUAUGAAUUCCAAGGGCUGACUGGAUACUUGGAGCUCUCCCAGCCUGGUGGACUGUGAAGGGAGCAGACAGUCAUCUCACUGCUAUUCUUCCACAGAAACAAACAUCUUUCAGAGAUGACAAGUAUCUGGCUUGUAGGUGCAGCGCUCUGAAUGAGAUUCAGGGAACCAGAGCAGCCACCAGCUGCGAGGAAUGCAAGGAUAGCCUCAAGGUACACACAUAAAAAAAAAGGAAAACAGGAUUCAGUCAGAGCUGGCUUCAUGGUUCCCCACGAGCUGCUCUCCAAAUACAAGGCAGCAGCACUGAGCGGUGAGCAGAGGGAGAAAGCCUGCUGCAAACCCUGCAGCCAGCAGCUCAGCUGGAUGAGAAUUUGCACCAUCUUUCAUCCAGACAAACACACCAAUGCAAGCCCACACGUGCCGUGGUGGUGGGCCCCAAGCUGGGUGCAGCUUGGCCAGCAGGCAGGGGAUGGAAGGGCACAGAGCAGCUCAGCCCCACCAGUGGUCGCCCCAGGCCAGGGCCAUGGCUUGCUGCCACCGAGGCCCUGUAGGAGAAGCUGUUCCCUGAGAUACGCAGUAGCUGUGCCACAGAUAAGACUUGUCUCCAGCACAAUCAGUCUCUCACCUAUUACAAGUGUGACAUGCACUUAAAAUGCUGUGGCUUGCUAUUUUCUUUUUGGUGCUUUUUUUUUUUUUUUUUUUUUUUCCCCACCUGCUGAACAGAAAGAAGAUGUAGUUCUGCAUGAUUACACAGGAGUCUGAAGUCCCCCGCAAGGCCAAGGCUGCAGGCGCAUGCUUAGAAGACAAGCAGACUUCCUCAUUAUCUGCUGUGGA
ensembl:lncRNA